GACGUAGGGCGCGAGCGUUGUCCGGAUUUAUUGGGCGUAAAGGGCGCGUAGGCGGCCUGGCAAGUGGAAGGUGAAAUCCCUCGGCUUAACCGAGGAACUGCCCUCCAAACUGCUUGGCUUGAGACCGGGAGAGGUGAGUGGAAUUCCCAGUGUAGCGGUGAAAUGCGUAGAUAUGCGGAGGAACACCGAUGGCGAAGGCAAUCCCCUGGGCCUACACUGACGCUCAUGCACGAAAGCGUGGGGAGCAAACAGG
rnacentral:rRNA from 1 species